rnacentral:rRNA from 1 species
AGCGAACGCUGGCGGCAGGCUUAACACAUGCAAGUCGAGCGGGCGUAGCAAUACGUCAGCGGCAGACGGGUGAGUAACACGUGGGAACGUACCUUUUGGUUCGGAACAACACAGGGAAACUUGUGCUAAUACCGAAUAAGCCCUUACGGGGAAAGGAUUAUCGCCGAAGAUCGGCCCGCGUCUGAUUAGCUUGUUGGUGAGGUAACGGCUCACCAAGGCGACGAUCAGUAGCNGGUCUGAGAGGAUGAUCAGCCACACUGGGACUGAGACACGGCCCA